UAGUAAUGAUAACAGAUAUGUGAGAGCAGUGCUUGUAACAGUAACAGGUCUGUGAGAGCAGUGCUAGUAACAGUAACAGGUCUGUGAGAGCAGUGAUAGUAACAGUAACAGGUCUGGGAGAGCAGUGAUAGAAAUAGUAAAAGGUCUAUAAGAGCAGUGCUAGUACUAGUAACUAGUAACAGGUCAAUUGGUCUGUUCUGUAGGGGUAGUGGCUCGUGUCUGCGGGGCAUGGCUGAAAUGUUACCGCGCUCAGUGACAUUUCGCUUAUCGACGGCGGCGGUCGAGAGACCUCGGUGCUUUCAAGUCAUUAAGAGCGUUAUAGUGCGGGAUAGGCUCUCGUUGAGGUAUCAUUAACCCACCACUGUAGUCCCACAGCGUGCACACUAUUCUGUUCAGAUGAGAGUGCAUAGCGUGGAAAUGAAGGUCACGUUUUCUAAAACGAAGGCACAUUAUGCAGACGUUCACAGGGACAUUCAUAUCACGGGCAGAGUCUCCAAUACUUUGGCCUUACUGAUAAAAAAGCUGUAAAGAUGCAUUAGACGCAGCAUAGAGUCAACUGAUUACUUGCUCCAUUCAGCGGCAAGCUCCAUUCUCUGACUUCUAUUGAGGUAAAAUAAAGACUGAACCACAACAAACCAUUAUGUUGGUUUCUGUGUGUGAAUCCCUGUAUGUUUGUUGGGGACGACGACCUGUGUGUGAGCGUAUAUGUGGGGACGCUAUAUAUGGAGCCUGUCCAGGGUGCGCAGCUUUGGUUUCAGUAGUGGAGGGGACGGUUUCCUCGCUUCGUGCCUGUAUGGAGCCUGUGUGUCGGGGAUUUACACCUGGGAGCUCCACAUACAUGACAAGAGAUGGGACAGGGUCAGGGUGAUCGGCACUACUCACUGCGGCGUUGGGCUCGAUGAGACGCCACUGCAGCUCCCUGGCCUCCUCCCACCUGCCUUCCACGCACAGGCGCUCCAACUCACACACCUGGCGUCCAAGCACGUUAGCCAGUGCACACACGCCACCCACCGCCCCUGAGGACCAGGGCAGGGGGGUCAGACAAAUGCAAAGGGGACGCGCAGCGUUUUUGUUUGAUUUGGCAAA